rnacentral:rRNA from 1 species
CCUACGGGGGGCAGCAGUAGGGAAUAUUGCUCAAUGGGGGAAACCCUGAAGCAGCAACGCCGCGUGGAGGAUGAAGGUUUUCGGAUUGUAAACUCCUUUUGGUAGAGAAGAGAAUGACGGUAACUAACGAAUAAGCACCGGCUAACUCCGGGCCAGCAGCCGCGGUAAUACGGAGGGGGCAAGCGUUAAUCGGAACCCCUGGGCGGAAAGAGCGCGGAGGCGGGAUAGCAAGGCAGAGGUGAAAUCCUAGGGCUUAACCCUAGAACUGCAUUUGAAACUGUUAUUCUAGAGUAUGGGAGAGGUAGGUGGACUUCUUGUUGUAGCGGUCAUCUCCGUAGACCU